rnacentral:rRNA from 1 species
GACGAACGCUGGCGGCGUGCUUAACACAUGCAAGUCGAACGGAAAGGCCCUGCUUUUGUAGGGUGCUCGAGUGGCGAACGGGUGAGUAACACGUGAGUAACCUGCCCUUGACUUUGGGAUAACUUCAGGAAACUGGGGCUAAUACCGGAUAGGAGCUCCUGCUGCAUGGUGGGGGUUGGAAAGUUUCGGCGGUUGGGGAUGGACUCGCGGCUUAUCAGCUUGUUGGUGGGGUAGUGGCUUACCAAGGCUUUGACGGGUAGCCGGCCUGAGAGGGUGACCGGCCACAUUGGGUCUGAGAUACGGCCCAGACUCCUACGGGAGGCAGCAGUGGGGAAUAUUGCACAAUGGGCGGAAGCCUGAUGCAGCAACGCCGCGUGCGGGAUGACGGCCUUCGGGUUGUAAACCGCUUUCGCCUGUGACGAAGCGUGAGUGACGGUAAUGGGUAAAGAAGCACCGGCUAACUACGUG